UACGAAGGGGGCUAGCGUUGUUCGGAAUUACUGGGCGUAAAGCGCACGUAGGCGGAUAUUUAAGUCGGGGGUGAAAUCCCGGGGCUCAACCCCGGAACUGCCUUCGAUACUGGGUAUCUUGAGUUCGGAAGAGGUGAGUGGAAUUGCGAGUGUAGAGGUGAAAUUCGUAGAUAUUCGCAGGAACACCAGUGGCGAAGGCGGCUCACUGGACCGGUAUUGACGCUGAGGUGCGAAAGCGUGGGGAGCAAACAGG
rnacentral:rRNA from 1 species